AAACUGAUGGGCACAGAAAGCACAGUGAGAAUGAGUUACUACAGGAGAUGCCAGGCAGAAAAUGGAAACCAGGAGACACUAGGAAUGGAGAAGCCAGGAAAUGAAACAACAGUUCGUUUUGCAAUUGCAUUUCAGCAUCACCAACCCAACAAUCAGGCAGCUGGAUUUCAAAGGUUAUCUCAGUUACACAAAUGAAAGAAAAGCAGCAUGGAACUGGAAAAAAUAAAGAAUGAAAGCAGGAA